rfam:Ixodes scapularis strain Wikel colony gcontig_1108378974040, whole genome shotgun sequence.
GCAGUCGUGGAAGAGUGGUUAAGGCGAUGGACUAGGAAAUCCAUUGGGGUCUCCCCGCAUAGGUUCGAAUCCUGUCGACUGCG